CCGGUUUGUGAAAGGGUUUUCUAUGUUAGCUUCUCCACUGACCAAGCUGCUUCAGAAAGAUGUAAAAUUUCAGUGGACAGAUAAAUGCCAACAGAUUUUUGAUGAAUUGAAGAGGUGUUUGACUGAGGCUUUAGUCCUAGCUUUACCUACACUGUGUAAAGAAUAUACAGUUUACAGUGAUGCUUCUCACAAUGGGUUAGGCUGUGUACUGAUGUAAGAUCGAAAUGUUAUUGCUUAUGCAUCACGCAGCUAAAACCGCAUGAGAGGAACUAUCCGACACAUGACUUGGAGCUUGCAGCUAUAGUAUUUGUUCUUAAGAUCUGAAGACAUUAUUUGUAUGAGGAGAAGUGCUAUAUCUACAAAGAUCAUAAGAGUUUGAAGUAUUU
rnacentral:misc_RNA from 1 species